GACGUAGGGGGCCAGCGUUGUUCGGAAUUACUGGGUGUAAAGGGCGCGUAGGCGGCCUGUUAAGUCGAACGUGAAAUCCCCGGGCUCAACCCGGGAACUGCGUCCGAUACUGGCAGGCUUGAAUUCGGGAGAGGGAUGUGGAAUUCCAGGUGUAGCGGUGAAAUGCGUAGAUAUCUGGAGGAACACCGGUGGCGAAGGCGGCAUCCUGGACCGAUAUUGACGCUGAUGCGCGAAAGCCAGGGGAGCAAACGGG
rnacentral:rRNA from 1 species